rnacentral:lncRNA from 1 species
CUUGGCCUGCUGGUUAAUCUUUCUUUUUAGGUUUGUUUGUGAGUAUAAGUCAGCCUGUGUCUUUGUCAAAGGUAAUGUCUCUGUGUAUGUCUUAGCUACUGUCUAUGUCACUGUGUGUGUCUCUGUCUGUGUAAAAGGUACUGUCACUGUGUGUGUCUUAGGUACUGUCUGUGUCACUGAGUGUGUCUCUGUCUGUGUCAUAGGUCCUGUCACUGUGUGUGUCUUAUGUACUGUCUGUGUCACUGUGUGUGUCGUAGGUACUGUCUGUGUCACUGUGUGUGUCGUAGGUCUAGGUCACUGUGUGUCUGUACUGGUGUUUUGUGUACUCUGUGUGUGUGUGUCGUAGGUAUGUCUGGGUCACUGUAUGUGUCUUAGGUACUGUCUGUGUGCUGUGUGUCGUAGGUCUGUCUGUGUCACUGUGUGUGUCGUAGGUACUGUCUGGGUCACUGUGUGUGUCUUAGGUACUGUCUGGGUCACUGUGUGUGUCUAAGGUACUGUCUGGGUCACUGUGUGCGUCUUAGGUACUGUCUGUGUCACUGUGUGUGUCUUAGGUACUGUCUGUGUCACUGUGUGUGU